CACUCCUUUUCCUGAUAACUGCUAAUGCCUUGUUUGGAUUUGUCUCUUCAUCCAAGCUGCGUGCAACUGGAGAGAGUGUGUCAAAUGUAACUUUUUUUUCUGUAAGGAGUGGUAAUGAGGAUCUUUAUGACUGCGAGAGAAAAUUGCAUUUUUUACAACCAACUAAACAGCUUCAGUCAACAUAUGUUGGUGAUCAGGGACAUAGGCUAUGAACACAUAGCCAUUUUCAUGAUAGCAGCUUUUUGAUUGUAUAUUAACAAUGGUCCCAUAAGGCAUUGGCCUUUUCCCAUUGGGAAGUCAUGAAUACGAGACUAUGAAGCAUGCACGUCAGAUCUUCCUCAAUUAAUCCACCAUUAGCCUUCCUGGGAUCCACGAGUCACUGGUUUUUGUUACUGUGUGCUGCUCAGUUCUAAUUAUUCUUUCUCUUUCUCUCAGCAAAAGACUGCUCUGUGCAGAGCAAGCCUCUCAGCUGUUGAUUUUUGCAGCACUUUCUCUCUCUCUCUCUCUCUCUCUCUCUCUCUCUCUCUCUCUCUCUCUCUCUCUCUCUCUCUCUCCCUCUCUCUCUCUCUCCCUCUCUCUCCCUCUCAGCAUCGCUCUCUCUCCCUCUCUCUCUCUUUCUGUCCUUAUCUCUAUCCCUCCCUUUCUUUUUUAAGUUUAUUUUCUAAAUGCAGAACACUACUCGAUUUGCUGCAUUUUAGUCUUUUUUUUUUUUUGUACAAAAUCUUUGUGGCUUUUUCUACCUGCAGAUCCAGAAGCGCCUUGCUACUGGCCAGAACACAGUUGAAACAGCAUUCAGUUUUCUGCUUCGGGCAUAUGGGCACCGCCUGCAGACUGCACCGGUAUCCUUGCUUGGGUUUAUUAGCACAGUAACCCAUAUAAAUCAACUGAGGAUCGAGGCAAGGCAACCUUAUAAUCCAAGGCAUAUCACAGUCAAACAUCAGACGACACCCUGGCUUUGUGCACAGUGGGAGGUUGCCUUUAAACCUGGAUUGAAAGGGAAUACUCAUUACUCUUGGAUAGCUGCCAGUGUAAGUGAAGAGCCACUGCAGCUGAGGACUUGCGAGAUGGAAAUCAGAUGGACGGAAAUUCAAAAGGCCAUUGCGAAAAGGAAGCCUUAAAAUGCAGAUUUCUCAGAAAAACCAUUGAUGGGGCCUUGCCUUGUGAUAAAAGGCAUCUUCAAUCAAUCUUAUCAAAACUUCCCUGUUGCCAAAUGGCCGUGGACCGUACUCAGUGUUUAAAUUCAUAUUUCUUCCUUCUUUAAGACUCUCUUCGGUGACGGGUAUUCUUGGGUGGAUAAUACGGAUUACGUUGUUAUUGCUUAAGAAUACGCGUAGUCGAGGAGAGUACUUUCUUCAGCAUCUCCAAGAAGCUUAAACCCAUUUGAUCUGAAAGGGCUGGCCUGCCUGGUUUCUUAUAUAUUGUGGGCAAUUAUAUACACUAAAGCUAUCACCAAAGUCCAUUUAUUAAGUAACCAGACAGAAUAAGAUUUGAAGUGGCAUUGCUUUUUUUACAAGUGUUCUUUUGAGAGAUUGUCUAAAAUGCCUGAUGUGAACAGUUUCCGUUUUUCAUAGAAUUUAGCUUUUAGAUAUCUUAUCUAGCUUUAAGAUUUUUGAAGCAGACCUUUUUAAAGCCCUGUUAUGUGUACUGUGUACUGUUGUUAAUCUCACUGUGCCAAUCUUGUAUUAAGUGCUGAUCUUUAAAACAUAAAAAUAUAUACGUUUGCCUUAAUUUGUGUAUUUUAGUACUGCUGAAAUGUAACUGUGCUAUGGCUUCUUUUCACAUUUGAAUGAUUGUUACAGAGGAUCUCUGCACCGUUUCUCCUUAUCUUUUCUGAUGGCUAAAAAUCCAUAAAAUAUUUUUUACAUUCAGUAGCUUAUUGCAGCAAAUGCAUUAGCUUAGUUAUUUCUGAGCAAACUGGUUUCAAAAUUAGAUUUACUGUCCACAUUUCUGUGAUUACUGCAUAGUAAGAGCCAUGAAGCAAAAUGUUCACAAUGUGAGGCAGAGUCUAAUUCUUGCCAUAAGUGGAUGUUGUUUAAGGCAGCAUUUAUUUUUUUUUAAGUAAAGAAGUAAAAAAAAAAAAAAAGCAUGCUGUAAAUGAAUCUUUUUAACAAUUUUAUAAUCAGAUAUUAUAUUAUUAUCUGUGAAGGAAUAAACAUUACAAAUAAUAGCUGAUCAUAUUGUAGCUCAUGUGUAGUCAUCAUAUUGAAUCAAAAUCAAUAAAUAUACUUUGGAAUCUAAACUAAC